GGACCUGACUGCUAUCGGAUUGAUACUAAGCCAUGCGAGUCAUUGUAGUAAUACAAGGCAGACGGCUCAGUAACGCGUAGUCAACCUACCCUAUGGACGGGGAUAACCUCGGGAAACUGAGAAUAAUACCCGAUAGAACAUUAUGCCUGGAAUGGUUUAUGUUUCAAAUAAUUUAUUGCCGCAGGAUGGGACUGCGGCCUAUCAGUUUGUUGGUGAGGUAAUGGCCCACCAAGACUAUUACAGGUACGGGCUCUGAGAGGAGUAGCCCGGAGAUGGGUACUGAGACACGGACCCAGGCCCUAUGGGGCGCAGCAGGCGAGAAAACUUUGCAAUGUGCGAAAGCACGACAAGGUUAAUCCGAGUGGUUUCUGCUAAAGGAACCUUUUGUCAGUCCUAGAAACACUGAUGAAUAAGGGGUGGGCAAGCUCUGGUGU
rnacentral:rRNA from 1 species